CCUACGGGAGGCAGCAGUAGGGAAUUUUCGGCAAUGGGGGGAACCCUGACCGAGCAACGCCGCGUGAACGAAGAAGUUAUUCGUAAUGUAAAGUUCUUUUAACAGGGAAGAAAGAGAAAUUUGACGGUACCUGAAGAAUAAGCUCCGGCUAACUACGUGCCAGCAGCCGCGGUCAUACGUAGGGAGCGAGCGUUAUCCGGAAUGAUUGGGGGUAAAGGGUGGUUAGAGGGCAUAGUAAGACUUUUGGAAAAAUGCUGGGCUCAACCAAGGAGGGCAAAAGAUACUGUAAAGCUAGAGUAUGAGAGAGGCAAGUGGAAUUACAUGUGUAGCGGUGAAAUGCGUAAAUAUAUGGAAGAACACCAGUGGCGAAGGCGGCUUGCUGGGUCGAUACUGACAGUGAGGCACGAAAGCGUGGGGAGCAAACAGGAGUAGAUACCCGGGUAGUC
rnacentral:rRNA from 1 species